rnacentral:rRNA from 1 species
UACGGAGGGAGCUAGCGUUGUUCGGAAUUACUGGGCGUAAAGCGCACGUAGGCGGCUAUUCAAGUCGGGGGUGAAAGCCCGGGGCUCAACCCCGGAACUGCCCUCGAAACUAGAUAGCUAGAAUCUUGGAGAGACGAGUGGAAUUCCGAGUGUAGAGGUGAAAUUCGUAGAUAUUCGGAAGAACACCAGUGGCGAAGGCGACUCGCUGGACAAGUAUUGACGCUGAGGCAUGAAAGCGUGGGGAGCAAACAGG